UCCUGGUUAGCUCAGUUGGUAGAGCGAUCCACUGGAAACGGAGAGACCCCUGGUUCGAUACCAGGACCAGGCG
rnacentral:tRNA from 1 species